AGAUCGAAUUGUAAACUUUAGAGUCGUUUGUCCAGACCAGCCGAGUAAAUAAGUUCCUUGGAAUAGGACAUCAUGGAGGGUGAGAAUCCCGUCUUUGGCUUGAGCAUUGGUCUUUUGUGAUGCGACUUCAACGAGUCAGGUUGUUUGGGAAUGCAGCCUUAAUUGGGUGGUAAAUCUCACCUAAAGCUAAAUAUUGGCGAGAGACCGAUAGCGAACAAGUACCGUGAGGGAAAGAUGAAAAGAACUUUGAAAAGAGAGUUAAACAGUAUGUGAAAUUGCUAAAAGGGAACCGUUUGAAGUCAGUCUGGCUGGUCUGCAAUCAGCUUCAACUUUGGUUGGAGUGCACUUGUAGGCCAUUUUGCCUGCCAACAACAGUUUGUUCUGCAGCAAAAAGGUGUUGAGAAUGUAGCUUUCUCUUCGGAGGAAGUGUUAUAGCUCUUCGCGAAAUACUGUGGUUCAGACUGAGGCUUGCAGUGAAUGCUAUUUUGGCUUUGGGGAUGGAUUGCUCAGUGCUUUGCUUGG
rnacentral:rRNA from 1 species